rnacentral:tRNA from 1 species
GCAUAUUUUCUUUUUGUUUAUAUGAACAACUACCUUCUAAGCAGUGGGUUGGGAGUUCGAGUCUCUCCAGGCGCGCCA